GUUUCCGGGUCAGUGUAGUUAUUGGGUCAGUGUAGUUAUUGGGUCAGUGUUGUUACUGGGUCAGUGUUGUUAUUGGGUCAGUGUUGUUACUGGGUCAGUGUUGUUUCCGGGUCAGUGUAGUUAUUGGGUCAGUGUAGUUAUUGGGUCAGUGUUGUUACUGGGUCAGUGUUGUUAUUGGGUCAGUGUUGUUAUUGGGUCAGUGUUGUUACUGGGUCAGUGUUGUUUCCGGGUCAGUGUUGUUUCCGGGUCAGUGUAGUUAUUGGGUCAGUGUAGUUAUUGGGUCAGUGAUGUUAUUGGGUCAGUGUUGUUACUGGGUAAGUGUUGUUUCCGGGUCAGUGUAGUUAUUGGGUCAGUGUUGUUAUGGGGUCAGUGUUGUUAUUGGGUCAGUGUUGUUAUUGGGUCAGUGUAGUUAUUGGGUCAGUGUUGUUAUUGGGUCAGUGUUGUUAUUGGGUCAGUGUUGUUAUGGGGUCAGUGUUGUUACUGGGUUAGUGUUGUUAUUGGGUCAGUGUUGUUACUGGGUCAGUGUUGUUAUUGGGUCAGUCUUGUUAUUGGGUCAGUGUUGUUAUUGGGUCAGUGUAGUUAUUGGGUCAGUGAUGUUAUUGGGUCAGUGUUGUUAUGGUGUCAGUGUUGUUAUGGGGUCAGUGCUGUUACUGGGUCAGUGUUGUUAUUGGGUCAGUGUUGUUAUUGGGUCAGUGUUGUUAUUGGGUCAGUAUUGUUACUGGGUCAGUGUAGUUAUUGGGUCAGUGUAGUUAUUGGGUCAGUGUAGUUAUUGGGUCAGUGUUGUUACUGGGUCAGUGUUGUUAUUGGGUCAGUGUUGUUAUUGGGUCAGUGUAGUUAUUGGGUCAGUGUUGUUACUGGGUCAGUGUAAGCCUGCUGCAGUCAGGCUGGAUGCCUCCUAUCUACAGCUCACAUAAUAGAGUAGAGCAGGCCUGUCACACACACUCCCUGUCACACACACUUUCUCUCACACUCCCUGUCACACACACACUCCCUGUCACACUCACACUCCCUGUCACACUCACACUCCCUGUCACACUCACACUCCCUGUCACACACACUCCCUGUCACACUCACACUCCCUAUCACACACACUCCCUGUCUCACACACACUCCCUGUCACACUCACACUCUCUGUCUCACACACACACACUCCCUGUCACACUCACAC
ensembl:lncRNA